UGGCUAAGAGGUUAAAGCGUCUGCUUCCAAUGCAGGAGACCUGGGUUCGAUCCCUG
rnacentral:tRNA from 1 species